rnacentral:rRNA from 1 species
AUGAAACCUCUUUCUAUAGAUGACUCUAGAAGGCUCUUCUAUAAAAGAGUAUUUGCCGCUGAUAGUGGAUGUCCAAAUGAAUUUGAACAAGUGUCUAAUGAUAUUUUAAAGAAAUGUGGUGGCGUACCACUAGCCAUCAUUACAAUAGCUAGUGCUUUGGCUAGUGGCCAGGUGGUGAAACCAAAGAGUGAAUGGGAUAUUCUGCUCCAAUCCCUUGGCUCUGGACUAACAGAAGAUAAAAGUUUAGAGGAGAUGCGGAGAAUACUAUCUUUCAGCUAUUAUGAUCUACCUUAUCAUCUGAGAACUUGUCUAUUGUACCUAUGUAUAUACCCUGAAGAUAGCGUGAUUGAUAGAGAUAGACUGAUAUGGAAGUGGGUGGCCGAAGGAUUUGUCCACCAAGGAAAUCAAGGGACUAGCCUAUUUUUGCUCGGAUUAAAUUACUUCAACCAGCUCAUUAAUAGAAGUAUGAUCCAGCCAAUACAUGAUGAUAUAGGCCAGGUAUGUUCUUGCCGUGUACACGAUAUGGUUCUGGACCUUAUCUGCAACUUAUCACAUGAAGCAAAGUUUGUUAAUCUAUUGGAUGGCACUGGGAAUAUCAUGUCUUCACAAAGUAAUGUUCGUCGUUUGUCCCUUCAUAAUAAAAAUGAAGAUCAUCAAGCCAAGCCUCUCAGAAAUUUCACGGUUAUAUCACGAGUGAGGUCAAUUACUAUCUUUCCACCUGCUAUAAAUAUCAUGCCAGCCCUGUCAAGAUUUGAAGUUUUACGUGUACUUGAUCUGUCAGACUGUAAGCUUUGGGAAAGUGGCAGCCUACAGCUUAUCCUCAAGGAUGUUGCACAUCUGAUUCAUCUAAGGUACCUAGGUCUAGCACAUACAGGAAUCAGAGAACUCCCGGCUGAGAUAGGGAACCUGCAGUUUUUGGAGGUGUUGGAUCUUGGAUUCAAUUUUUGCGUGCGGGCAUUGCCGUCAACUUUUUGUAAUUUGAGAAGAUUAAUCUACCUAAAUUUUUAUUUGUGUAAGGUGGUUACGGCUGGUGUAUUGCAGAAUCUGACAUCCAUAGAAGUUUUGAGGGGAAUAUUGGUCUCUCUGGACAUCGUUGCACAAGAGCUUGGCAAAAUAGCAAUGCUGAGGCAGCUUGAGAUAUGCCUCAAGGAUGAUAGUUUGGCUUUGUAUGAAUGUUUUGUUGAAUCUCUGCGCAACCUGCAUCACAUCGAGAGUCUUAUUAUAAGUUCCUACUCCAAAGAAACAUCUUUUGAACUGAUGGAUCUCUUGGGAGAACAAUGGGUGCCUCCUGGACAUCUGCGCAAAUUUGGGUCACAUGUGCCCACCCAACUCUCUGCACUGCGAGGGUGGAUAGACAGAGACCCCUCGCAUCUCUCGAACCUCUCCGCGUUAAUCCUCGAUUCAGUGAAGGAAGUGCAACAGGAGGACAUGAAAAUCAUUGGGGGGCUGCUGUCCCUUCGGCGUCUUGUCAUAAAGAGCACCCACCAAACAGAACGGCUGAUAGUCGUCAGUGCAUAUGGGUUCCGCUGUAUGGUUGACUUUUGCUUCGACUGUGGAUCAGCAGCGCAGAUAAUGUUUGAACCAGGGGCUUUGCCAAGUGUGGAAGCAAUUGAGUUCAGCCUCAGCGUGGGGGUGGCGAAAGAGGAUGGUAAUGUCGAUUUCGACUUCGGUCUUCAAGGGAACAUGCUCUCCCUUCGGCGGUCUGUCUCUGUUGGUUUUUAUUUUGGUGGAGCGAGGGUUGUCGAGGCGAAGGAAGCGGAGGCUGCGGUGAGGCACGCGCUCCACGCCCACCCCAACCAACCGGAGAUUAAAAUUUCUGUUAAUCCACCCUUUGCAGAGGGUAUUGAGGAAUGGAUGUCCAGACCGAAUGAAGCGAAAUCAUCUUACGCUUGUUCAGGUUUGGACUUUGGGAGAAAUGCUCCUUCCUCGCUCAUAUACAGUGCUAGGCGCUGA